rnacentral:rRNA from 1 species
GAUGAAUGCUGGCGGCGUGCCUAACACAUGCAAGUCGAGCGGCAGCGCGGGGUGCUUGCACCCUGUCGGCGAGCGGCGAACGGCUGAGUAACGCGUAGGAAUUUUCCCCAAAGUGAGGAAUAACUUCCCGAAAGGGUAGCUAAUGCCGCAUAUGGUCUUCGGAUUAAAGGAUUUAUCCGCUUUGGGAGAAGCCUGCGUUGGAUUAGGUUGUUGGUAGGGUAAUGGCCUACCAAGCCGACGAUCCAUAGCUGGUCUGAGAGGAUGAUCAGCCAGACUGGAACUGAGACACGGUCCAGACUCCUACGGGAGGCAGCAGUGAGGAAUCUUCCACAAUGGGCGAAAGCCUGAUGGAGCAACGACGCGUGAAGGAUGAAGGCCUUCGGGUUGUAAACUGCUUUUAUGAGUGAAGAAUAUGACGGUAACUCAUGAAUAAGCACCGGCUAACUACGUG